CCUACGGGUGGCUGCAGUGAGGAAUAUUGGUCAAUGGACGCAAGUCUGAACCAGCCAAGUAGCGUGAAGGAUGACUGCCCUCUGGGUUGUAAACUUCUUUUAUAUGGGAAUAAAAUGUUCCACGUGUGGGAUUUUGUAUGUACCCUAUGAAUAAGGAUCGGCUAACUCCGUGCCAGCAGCCGCGGUAAUACGGAGGAUCCGCGCGUUAUCCGGGUUUAUUGGGUGUAAAGGGAGCGUAGGUGGCUUGUUAAGUCAGUUGUGAAAGUUUGCGGCUCAACCGUAGAAUUGCAGUUGAUACUGGCAGUCUUGAGUACAGUAGAGGUGGGCGGAAUUCGUGGUGUAGCGGUGAAAUGCUUAGAUAUCACGAAGAACUCCGAUGGCGAAGGCAGUUGACUGGACUGCAACUGACACUGAGGCUCGAAAGUGUGGGUAUCAAACAGGAUUAGAUACCCCGGUAGUC
rnacentral:rRNA from 1 species